rnacentral:rRNA from 1 species
GAUGAACGCUGGCGGCGUGCCUAAUACAUGCAAGUCGAGCGAACAGACGAGGAGCUUGCUCCUCUGACGUUAGCGGCGGACGGGGGAGUAACACGUGGAUAACCUAUCUAUAAGACUGGGAUAACUUCGGGAAACCGGAGCUAAUACCGGAUAAUAUAUUGAACCGUAUGGUUAAAUAGUGAAAGACGGUUUUGCUUUCACUUAUAGAUGGAUCCGCGCCGCAUUAGCUAGUUGGUAAGGUAACGGCUUACCAAGGCAACGAUGCGUAGCCGACCUGAGAGGGUGAUCGGCCACACUGAAACUGAGACACGGUCCAGACUCCUACGGGAGGCAGCAGUAGGGAAUCUUCCGCAAUGGGCGAAAGCUUGACGGAGCAACGCCGCGUGAGUGAUGAAGGUCUUCGGAUCGUAAAACUCUGUUAUUAGGGAAGAACAAAUGUGUAAGUAACUAUGCACGUCUUGACGGUACCUAAUCAGAAAGCCACGGCUAACUACGUG